CCCAGGGACAGAAGAAACCCACCUGCUUGGAAGGAUGGUCUCACAGAGCAUCGGAGCCGGAAGGAGGAACUUUAGAGAUCCAACCAUCUCCUUUUGCAAAUCAGACACCAGAGGCCAGAAAGGGAAGGUCCCAGAGAGCAGACACUGCCUGUUCUGUUCAUGGCUGUCACCCCGCUCAUGGCCACAGUAGAGGCACCAUACUAUUGUUGGCUGACUCAGUGGGCCCCACGGCACUUCUCUCUGGCGGUGGUGAGACAGCCAAUCCCAGCUUGAUGCCCAUGGCCCCUGGAGUGAGACAUUCCUCCUGAGUUCCCUGGAUCCCAGGAGGCAGGGCAGCACAUCGUCCUCCCAGCCACAGAAGCUUCUGUUCCCACUACCCGCGUUCUGACGGCUCUCCAGCAGAUCAGCCUGUGCCUCUCCUCUGAGCUCCACACCCUCCUGUCUGCCCAGCGGCUCCACUUGCCCGUCCAACGGGCGUCUGAGACUUAAUAGGCUCUCACCCCAGCUCCUGAAAUUUCCCCACAAGCCUGCCCUGCCAUGGCAGACUGUCAGCUGGGACUCCGGCCUUCCAGCGGGUCAGGCGGAAAAACGAGAGUCAUUCUUGACAUCUGUUUCUCUCUUGCACCAGGAAGCCCAGCCUCACAGUAGACACAGAAUCCUGCAGCUUCUUUGCACCUCCAUUGCCAGAGAGCAUUUGGGGACUCCCCCGCGCUCCCCUUCCUCAUCAGCAUCCCCACUUCCUUACAGACUAGCCCCAGAGAGCAGUGGCCUUGAGCCCUUGAAAGCACAGAUUGGUCCGGAUUAGGCACGUCUACGGGGACAGAUGAGCGCUUGCCUAGGGCUGGGAGGUUGGGAGAAAAUGGGCAGUGACUGCUAAUGGUACAGGGUCUCCUCUUUGGGGUGACGAAAAUGUCUGAUCGAGGCACAGUUUUAUAAAUACACAAAAACCCACUGUAUUGUUAAAAAAAAAAAAGUGAACAUACUUAACAUUAAAGCAAACAGUUGCAUCUUG